rnacentral:lncRNA from 1 species
UAUACAUACAUAUACAUAUGUAGCUAAGUAGAUAGCUAUGGGUAUAUAUGUAUAUAUUUCAACUUGGAAAAAACUUGUAAAAGAAUUGACUCUUGCCUCCUUAAAACAUCUUUCCUAUUCAAUUAUGUAAUCAUUGAACAUUAGCAGAUGAGGAGAGAAGAUUUUGUUUACUGAUUUUAUGAUUUUAAGCUAAUUAUUUUAAUAGCUUUGGGUCUAUAUUGUAAUUACACUUUCUAAACAUUUUCUCCAUUUAAAGGAAAAAGUUGGAGAUAUCCAUAUUGUGAAAGGAGAAGCAAGAAACUAUAAGACUUCACCAAUAGCAUGGCUCUGGAUCAUCAGCUCUCACCUGUGUCUCCAAGAAGCUAUUGCAUGUGGAGUUGCCUGCUGAUGAGUUAAACUAGCUUGAUGUCUACUGCAGAUUUGUGAAAACUUUUUCUGCCCAAAAGGUGAGAAAAAUGAGACGCAGAGAAGACAUACAGAAAAAGCUAUGACUUCAGGUCUUCUGGCUCUAAAUUCAAGGCUCUAGAUUCUUCACUAUGCAAUACAAGAAUCAAAAAGGAAGAAAAAGCAGAAGAAAUAGUAUUAGAAGAAGAGAUUAGCAGUGCCAAACUUAACAAGGAAAAGGCUCAAAGGAGAUUUUUCUGCAAUGGCAAAGAACACAAUUGGUGGAACUCCUUUUAUUUUAAAAAAUAUAAGCAAAUAAAGAAUGUGUAUAAGCUCGAAAAAACUGAUCAAAAGGUAAGUUUUCAUUAUGUUAAAUUUGUCAUAAAAUGCAUGUGGGGUUUUUUGUGUGUUUGCCCACUUUAAUUACUAGAUAUUAAGUGUGUGUUUUCUGAUUUUAAUUGUUUUCCCUUUUUAAUUACUAUGUUUUGAGCUUUUUUUAAAAAUAAAAAUCCCUUACCUUCUGUCUUAGAAUCA